CCUACGGGUGGCAGCAGUGGGGGAUAUUGCACAAUGGGGGGAACCCUGAUGCAGCGACGCCGCGUGGGUGAAGGAGUGCUUCGGCAUGUAAAGCCCUAUCGGCAGGGAAGAAGCAAGACGGUACCUGACUAAGAAGCCCCGGCUAACUACGUGCCAGCAGCCGCGGUAAUACGUAGGGGGCGAGCGUUAUCCGGAUUGACUGGGUGUAAAGGGAGAGUAGACGGCCAUGCAAGCCAGGGGGGAAAGCCCGGGGCCCAACCCCGGGACUGCCCUUGGAACUGCAUGGCUAGAGUGCGGGAGGGGCAGGUGGAAUUCCUGGUGUAGCGGUGAAAUGCGUAGAUAUCAGGAGGAACACCAGCGGCGAAGGCGGCCUGCUGGACUGCGACUGACGUUGAGGCUCGAAAGCGUGGGGAGCGAACAGGAUUAGAUACCCUAGUAGUC
rnacentral:rRNA from 1 species